CGUCACUCCAAAUUGAUACUCCAAUACGUCAAUGAUAGUUUUAUGAUCAAUUGUAUCGAACGCUGAGCUUAAGUCCAAGAGUACAAGAAAACACACUUCCUGCCUGUCCAUACUCAGAAGAAUAUCGCUUUGCACCUUUAGCAGAGCCGUCUCUGUCGAAUGAUAUUUCCUGAAGCCAGAUUAAAACCUUUUAAAGCUUAAAACAUCAGGAUAUUGGUAUGCAGAAUUUGUACAGUGCUUAGAAUAUCACUCAAAGGCGAAGCAUAAAAACAAUGAAAGAAAAUUUUAAUGUCUUUAAAAUAGUUAUUAUUAAUUAAUAGUAUUAUUAUAAGAACAUUCAGUGAUUAGAAGUAUAUUACCGUUGAGCUUGCAAGUCUAUCAAGAAUAUUCUUCUCCUGGGCACUAGUCAGCUGAUAUUUCACAUUUUCAUUCGUAAAUACCACUUUGAGUGAUUGAGAAAAAAACUCCACAGGAAUGCUUGCGUAUUCUUUAUAACUAUACACAAAAUAUACAGAGUAUAAAAUCUCGAACGGUGGGUGUCGCCAGUGCAUGUAGGUAGCCCAAAAUA